GUAAGUAUAUAAAGAAACUAUUACGGAUAAAUACAGCUAUAUAUUAAAGACGUAUAAGAUAAAGUGUUCUUGGAAAAAUCCAUUUUUUAAACGAAGCGAAUUGAAAUAUCUUAGUAGCUUCAGGAAUAAAAAUCAAAUGAGAUUCCAUAAUUAGCUAUAACUGUUAUGGAAAAGCCUUUAAAGUAAAACGGAAAUAAUCUGUUUGAAUCUAGGGAAACCUUUCUCUAAGGCUAAAUAUGAUAUAUAAGCGAUAGCGAAGCAGUACCGUGAGGGAAAUUUUUGAAAUAGUAGUUUUAUAAGCAGCUCAAGUUUAAUUUAAAAGUAUAAUGAGAGCGUACCUUUUGCAUAAUGGGUCAGCAAGUUAAUGUUAGAUGCGAGACGGGUUCACAAAAGAUUAAGUGGUCAAACUUACUUACUUUUACUUUGACGCUAAAAAGAAGAGUUUUAGCCGCUUUUUGGAUUAUAAGAUAAAAGUAAAUUGAGAAUGAUUACCUAAAUGAGUAAGGUAAUAUAGAUAAUUAUUGCCUGAAAUAAGGAAUAUUAUCACCUUGUCCUAGAUAAACCAAUUAUUAAUUAAUGAUUAAGUAUCUAAUGUUAGACCCGAAGCCUAGUGAUCUUACCAUGAUCAGGGUUAUAAAGGCCCGAACGGGUUAUCGUUGUAAAGAUAUCCGAUGAAUUGUGGUAAGUUAGUGAAAGACAAAACUGACUAGGAUAGCUGGUUUUCUGCGAAACCUAUAUAAGUAGGUAAUGUAAAUAACAUCAUAGCAGGUACAGAACUGUGAUCUCGGACAAAUUAUGUUGUUUUCUUAACGAUAGCAACAUGGUUUUGUAUACAUCGGGGAAUCGUGAAGAUUUUAUCGGCGAGAAUUUGCUCUCGGAAGGGCAAUGAUGGAUUUUGCAUAAUCGGACAUAGUACGAUAAGGUUGUAUGUCUAAAGGGAAACAGCCCAGAACAAGAGUUAAAGGUUCCAAAAUUAUUGUUAAGUGAAAAUAAGGAAGUUUUCUUCAAAUACAACCAGGAAAUAGGCUUAGAAGCGGCCAUUUUUUGAAGACCUCGUAACAGAGCACUGGUUUAACAUUAAAAGUUGAAAGCACCGAAAAUUUAACGGAUCUAAAACAAUAUACCGAAACCUUGUCUAUAAAUAAAAUAUAUAUUAAAUUAGAUUUCUUUUGGGUCAGACUAAAAGUAUAUUUAGCUUAAGAAUUUUAUUUAUGGGGUAGCAGAACGUUGGGCAUGUCUUAGACUUAAUAUUUUUAAUAUUGAGUAGGUUCGGCAGAAUAUGUACUACGACCAAAAACUAUAGGUGCUACACUUACUAACUAAAACAAGUAGGUUGUAGGUUCAACGCUUAUUUUUCGAGGAAAAUAGAUACACUGUCGAAUAAGAUGACCCCAAGUGAGAAUGCUGGCAUGAGUAACGAAAAAGGGAUAGCCCCUCGCCUUAAGCUUAUGGUAUUUAAAUAAAGUAACGGCCUCUAAGUUUAUAAUUGUCCUAAAGGAUUAAACGAUGAGAAAAAUCUUAAGUCUUGAUAGAGGUCUAACAACAUUGUGAUAUUUUGAGUACACAAUGUUCUGGAAAAGGACCUUUAAAUGUAAUAGUACGUCAUGUAAUGUGAUGUACUGGUCGCUUAAAAAGCGUAUAAAAACUUUACAUUUGACAAACCGUACCUAGAUACUACCACAAGUAAGCAAGUAGAGUAUACAAAGGCGUUUGAGUUAACAAUCAUUAAGGAACUCGGCAAAAUGACACCGUAACUUAGGGAUAAGGUGUGCCAUCCUUCUUAAGUAAUAUUAAGUUAAGGAUAGGAGGCAUAGAGUGGUGUUGUACGACUGUUUAAUUAAAACAAAGCACUUUGCAUAAGAUGACAAAUCAAAGUAUUGAGUGUGAAUUCUGCCCAAUGUUGGCUGGUUAACGAAGAUUCUUAGCCGACUAAUAUAAGCUAGGUUUUGAAGGAAACCCCAAUCAAUGGCGGCCUUACCGAUGAGGGUCCUAAGGUAGCGGAAUACCUUGGCCGUUAAAUGCGGUCUUGCAUGAAUGAUUUAACGAUACAACAGCUGUCUCAAUGAUUGGCUCAGUGAAAUUGGAAUAACUGUGCAGAUACAGUUUACCUCUAGUUAGACGAGAAGACCCUAUGCAGCUUUACUGUUUGUAGUUAUUGGAUACAAUGGAACAAGUUGUAGCGUAUAAGGUAGUUGAUAAGAUACAAUUGAAACACCUUUACUUAGUUUAUUGUAUAAGCAAUGCAACUGCCGAGAAGAAGAAGGAAGAUUUUUGUUUGCCUUUUGUUAAUAGGUGUUUGUGUAGUAUUAGUAAAGAUCACAUGAUCACUUGUGUGGUCUUAGUAGAGAUGAAUAUGAUAAGCUUUCCACCCGAAGUAUCAGUAUUAGACGCAUAUAUACGUGCUUAUACCACAAACACUGAUUUGAUAACCUAGUAAUGGUCAAGCUACAAUUAAGGACCAAUGGUUAUGAGUCGGGUAGAGAAGUUGCAAAGCUAAUCCUAUAAAAGAUAUAUAUAAAAAUAUAUAUGUUUGGAAACAUUGGCUAUUAGACAGUUUAUGCGGGGCACAGAUCCCACAAAAAGUACCUGGGUGUAUCCAAAGUUAAUUUUGUAAAUUUAUUGGCAAUAAUAAUUUGCCAAUAGAUAAAUAUAUUAUAUAGCAAAAGCUUUUGCUUUUAGCCUGUGUAAUGUAUUUUUAUUUUAAUCUGUAAUGUAUUGCUUUCAAUAUAUUCAGUUAUUUAUCUAUUAAGUUAGAUUUAUUUAUUUUUUUUAAGUAAGAUUUUAACUAUAUGGAAAAUAGAUGUAAAUAAAACACUAAGACAAUGUUUAUAAAGUGACAGUAGUGUUUUAGUUUAUUUUCUUAAUAUGCUUUUGAUAUUAAGAAAAUGAUGAUUAUUUUAC
rnacentral:rRNA from 1 species